UAGAAUGCCUGCAGGAGACAGGAAGCAUGGACUUCACAGUAUGAACAUGAUGGAGGCAGCACCAUCGGAGCCUUCCCUUGACCUGGAUAGCCUCAA